rnacentral:rRNA from 1 species
GAUAAACGCUAGCGGCAGGCUUAACACAUGCAGGUCGAGGGGCAGCAUAGAUUGUAGCAAUACAAUUGGUGGCGACCGGCGCACGGGUGCGUAACGCGUAUGCAACCUACCCGUCACAGGGGGAUAAUCCGGAGAAAUCUGGUCUAAUACCCCAUAACAUAUGGAUCGGCAUCGGUUCAUGUUGAAAUUUUCGGAGGUGACGGAUGGGCAUGCGUAGCAUUAGCUUGUUGGUGAGGUAACGGCUCACCAAGGCGACGAUGCUUAGGGGGACUGAGAGGUUUUCCCCCCACACUGGUACUGAGACACGGACCAGACUCCUACGGGAGGCAGCAGUGAGGAAUAUUGGUCAAUGGGCGCAAGCCUGAACCAGCCAUGCCGCGUGCAGGAUGACGGCUCUAUGAGUUGUAAACUGCUUUUGUACGAGGGUAAAGUGGGUUACGUGUAACCUUUUGAAAGUAUCGUGCGAAUAAGGAUCGGCUAACUCAGUGCCAGCAGCCGCAGUAA